CAGUCGCCGCGGUAAAACGGAGGGUGCAAGCGUUAAUCGGAAUUACUGGGCGUAAAGCGCACGCAGGCGGUCUGACAAGUCAGAUGUGAAAUCCCCGGGCUUAACCUGGGAACUGCAUUUGAAACUGUCAGGCUGGAGUCUUGUAGAGGGGGGUAGAAUUCCAGGUGUAGCGGUGAAAUGCGUAGAGAUCUGGAGGAAUACCGGUGGCGAAGGCGGCCACCUGGACAAAGACUGACGCUCAGGUGCGAAAGCGUGGGGAGCAAACAGGAUUAGAUACCCCAGUAGUCCCUGUCUCUUAUAC
rnacentral:rRNA from 1 species